rnacentral:rRNA from 1 species
AUGAAACUUUUGUGCUGGAACUGCCGCGGGAUUGGCGACUCCGCGACGGUUAAAGAGCUUUGCGAUCUCGUGGAGGCAUGUGCGCCGACGGUGUUGUGUAUUGUGGAGACGCAGUUGGCAAAACACCGUGUGGAAGGAUUGGCGGGUACUUUGGGGUUUUCGGGACGCUUUGGAGUAGAUAGUAGUGGUAGGAGUAGAGGUUUAUGCUUGUUCUGGAAAAAUAAUGUUGAUCUUGAUAUAAAGACUUUUUCUCGCUAUCAUAUUGAUUCAGUGGUGAAAAUGCCGGAAGUGGAUCCAUGGCGUUUGUCUUGUUUUUAUGGUGCAGCAGAUAGGAGUAUGAGGUACAAGACAUGGGAUACUAUGAAAAUAUUAUGUGGGGAGAAUACUACAUGGAUAUGCAUGGGAGAUUUUAAUGAAAUUUUGAGGCCAGAAGAGCAAAUGGGGCCAAAUGAGCGUGAUAGUGCUCAGAUAGAAGGAUUCAAAGAAGCAGUUGAUGUAUGUGAGUUAGCGGACCUUGGCUACAAAGGAUUGGAUUGGACUUGA